rnacentral:rRNA from 1 species
CCCUUAGAUGUUCUGGGCCGCACGCGUGCUACACUGAUGCAUACAGCGAGUACUUUCCAGCUCCGCGAGGCAGCUGGUAAUCAGCAAUAUGCAUCGUGCUGGGGAUAGAUCUUUGGAAUUAUAGAUCUUGAACGAGGAAUUCCUAGUAAGCGCAAGUCAUUAGCUUGCGCUGAUUAAGUCCCUGCCCUUUGUACACACCGCCCGUCGCUCCUACCGAUUUCGAGUGAUUCGGUGAACCUUUUGGACAGCGUCUGUCCUCGUGUCAGAUGCUGAAAGUCAAGUAAACCAUAUCACUUAGAGGAAGGAGAAGUCGUAACA